rnacentral:rRNA from 1 species
GGCGAAGGAAAUUUUUACAAACAAUAAUUUCCAUAUGGUUGAUGUGUCGCAAAAGCAAAAUACACAUCGUAAAGCUUUAGCUAUGGGUAAAAUUUAUGUUGGUAAAAAAACUUUCGAAUUAAUUAAAAAUAAACAAAUGCCAAAAGGAGAUCCAAUCUCUUUAGCAGAGAUUGCUUCACUGCUUGGCGUAAAAAAAACUAGUGAAAUUAUUCCACUUUGUCAUCCACUUAGUGUCGACUUCAGUUCAACAAAAAUUAUUCAAAAUGCUGAUGACUUUUCGCUUGAUGCUUAUUGCGUUGUUGCGGCGUUUGCUAAAACUGGGGUUGAAAUGGAAGCAAUCAUGGGUGUGAAUGCAGCCUUAAUUACAAUUUACGAUUUAUGUAAAAUUGUUAAUCCUGAUCUUAAAAUUGAUGGAAUUCGUUUAUUAAUUAAACAGGGCGGAAAAACAGGAACCGGGCGUGAAUCAGCGCGGCCCACCGCGCAAGGCUAAGUACUACUUGGUGACCGAUAGCGAAGAGUAGCGCGAGCGAAAGGUGAAAAGAACCCCUGUUAGGGGAGUGAAAUAGAACCUGAAACCGUAUACCUACCAGCGGUCGGAGCCCCAUUGAUGGGGUGACGGCGUGCCUUUUGCAUAAUGACCCGGCGAGUUGGCGUACGCGGCAAGGUUAAGGGUUUAAGGCCCGAAGCCGAAGCGAAAGCGAGUGCGAAAUGUGCGAUUCCAGUCGAGUGCGCCAGACCCGAAAACAGGUGAUCUAACCAUGGGCAGGAUGAAGCGGAUGUAACAGUUCGUGGAGGUCCGAACCGGUGAAUGUUGAAAAAUUCUCGGAUGACUUGUGGUUAGGGAUAAAAGGUCAAUCAAACCUGUAGAUAGCUGGUUCUCCCCGAAAUAGCUUUAGGGCUAGCCUCAGGAGUUUUCUUACGGGGGUAGAGCGACUGUUCAGGUUGAGGGGGUGCAUAACCUACCUCGCCCAGACAAACUCCGAAUACCGUAAGUAAUAUCCUGGGAGUCAGACUGCGAGGGAUAAGCUUCGUGGUCAAGAGGGAAACAGCCCAGAUUGGCAGCUAAGGCCCCGAAUCCAUGCUCAGUGUAGAUAAGGAGGUGGGGUUGCAUAGACAGCUAGGAUGUUGGCUUAGAAGCAGCCACCAUUUAAAAAGUGCGUAAUAGCUUACUAGUCGAGCAACUCUGCGCCGAAAAUUAACGGGACUAAGCAUGGAGCCGAAGCUCCAGACUGCACGAGGUGAACUUGUGCAUUGGUAGGGGAGCGUUGGACGAGCGAUUGAAGGAGGACGGUAACGACCUCUGGACGUGGUCCAAGUGAUUAUGCCGGGAUGAGUAGCGAUAAAGAAGGUGAGAAUCCUUCUCGCCGUAAGCCUAAGGUUUCCUGGGCAAGGCCAUUCCGCCCAGGGUUAGUCGGUCCCUAAGACGAGGCUGAAAGGCGUAGUCGAUGGGAAGCAGGUCAACAUUCCUGCACCACUGUGAGCGUUGAACGAGGAGUGACGGCGGGUAGAAAGUUGUCCGGUUAUUAGUUCCGGUUCUUGGUUGGGGGUGGUGGAUAGGAAAACCCGUCCACGGAAUCUCCUGAUUGAGAGGAGCCUUCGAGGCGAACCAACUGGAAGUCCGUCCAAGAAAAACUUCGCGGGAGCAGAGCAGUGACCGUACCUAAUCUGACACAGGAGGGCGAGGCGAAUAGCCUCAGGCGCUCGAGAGAACCCUACGUGAAGGAACUCGGCAAAUUAACCCCGUAAGUUCGCGAUAAGGGGUGCCUCCGCAAGGAGGUCACAGGAAAACGACAGCUGCGACUGUUUACUAAAAACACAGGUCUCUGCGAAGUCGUCAAAGACGACGUAUAGAGACUGACGCUUGCCCGCUGUUGGAACGUUAAGGUGACUGGUUAGCCGCAAGGCGAGGCUGGGAGCCGAAGCGCCAAUGAAGGGCGGCCGUAACUAUGACGGUCCUAAGGUAGCGAAAUUCCUUGUCGGGUAAGUUCCGACCCGCACGAAUAGCGUAACGACAGCUGUACU